CUAGAGGUGGAAUCUGCACAGCUCAACAGUUAGGCCAAAAGAUGCAUAAUAUUUCAGAGUCGCCGAAUGAUAGAUUUUCAUACAGCCCGAGUUCCCAGACCGUGGGGAAUGCCUUUGCUGGUGUAGCGAUUGGGCCUGCAGUGCAAAUUUCGGACCAAAUUUGCCAAUGUCUGCCCACAUCAUUCACCAUUGAUGAUGGAUAAGCAAAGCGAGCAACGCGCCCCAAAAUUUUCCGGCUGUCAGCAACCCGCGUGGCUGAAAUUGUUGACAAAAAAAUCAUCUCCCGGCAAAAUGUUACUUUGUUGGGCUGGUCCGGUAGGCAACGGCAAUGGUUCCGGUGGUGCAAGGGCGCAGGUAGUCGGGUGUUUCCAGAUCGAGGAACAGGCGGCCUAGGAUGAUGAGGCCCUUGGUUCCGAAACUGAAGUGCUGAAGCUAGAAGGGAAAGGCUACGUGAAAGCCUUAGAGCAUAUAUACAAUGUAAGAAAAGGACUGGAGAAUCAAUCCAUUGAUUGAAAAAUGCGACGUUCUUUUUUUCCGAAAAGACACGAGAACCAGCAUCAUUACUGGAAAACCACGGGGCAGCAGCGACAAGAAAGGUUCAGCAGUGCUUCUUCAACACGAAGUAGGAUGGAUCGGAAGUGCCACUGCAUUUGAUACGGAAAGUGCUGCAGAAUUGGGAGCAUCCGGAAGGUGUAUCAGUUAACAUCCGCAGGUUGCGGAAGGUUAGUAUUUUAAUGAUGAAUCUAUAUAUUAUAAACAUCGUAUGGAAUUAAAUAUAUUAGAAAAUUAAAUCUCGCUUUAUAUUUAUUACGAAAAAGUAAUUGGAAAUCAAGAAAAAUAAAUAAAAUCCCAGCAUGGGCAAUCUUUUCAUUGUUGGUUAACAAAAGGUUGUAUCGUCAUCUUUUUAUGAGCGGAUCAUAAGACAACGAUAACACGUAUGAUCAACCCGUUUAAGAAAGAGUAGAAAAAAGCAAAAAAAUUGAAUGGUUACUCUACUUAACGACCCGUUCGCUGUAUCGUACAGUGUGUCCAAACGAUUCCAUUUCAUGGAAAAAAGAUUAGUUUGAUCAUACAUUAAUAAUCCAAAACUAUAAAGGUAAUCUUUUCUGUGUCUUGGAAAGAAGAUAAUAGGAAUAGUCAUUGUACAGUAUUGAUUUAUGCGGGUAAAUAUGUAAGAUGAAAUAGAAAAAUAAAAUGCAGGUAAAGAGAAAUCGAAUAACUUUAUAUGAAAUCCGAAAACUCCGCAAAAUAUUCCCUUUUGGUGCAUCCGCCAUUAACGCAUACGGUUCCCAUAACCAUCAGUAUAACGCUGGAAGAACAUUUUGUGGAAUCGUGAACUAACUAUUACUGUAAACGUUCAGUUUCAAGCAUACUUCAAA